UACAGAGGGUGCAAGCGUUAAUCGGAAUUACUGGGCGUAAAGGGCUCGUAGGCGGUCUGUUACGUCGGGAGUGAAAACUCGGGGCUCAACCCCGGGCCUGCUUCCGAUACGGGCAGACUAGAGGUAUGCAGGGGAGAAUGGAAUUCCUGGUGUAGCGGUGAAAUGCGCAGAUAUCAGGAGGAACACCGGUGGCGAAGGCGGUUCUCUGGGCAUUACCUGACGCUGAGGAGCGAAAGCAUGGGGAGCGAACAGG
rnacentral:rRNA from 1 species